AUACGUAGGUGGCAAGCGUUGUCCGGAAUUAUUGGGCGUAAAGCGCGCACAGGCGGUCCUUUAAGUCUGAUGUGAAAGCCCUCGGCUCAACCGAGGAGGGUCAUUGGAAACUGGAGGACUUGAGUGCAGAAGAGGAAAGCGGAAUUCCAAGUGUAGCGGUGAAAUGCGUAGAGAUUUGGAGGAACACCAGUGGCGAAGGCGGCUUUCUGGUCUGUAACUGACGCUGAGGCGCGAAAGCGUGGGGAGCAAACAGGAUUAGAUACCCUGGUAGUCCACGCCGUAAACGAUGAGUGCUAAGUGUUAGGGGGUUUCCGCCCCUUAGUGCUGCAGCUAACGCAUUAAGCACUCCGCCUGGGGAGUACGGUCGCAAGACUGAAACUCAAAGGAAUUGACGGGG
rnacentral:rRNA from 1 species